rnacentral:snoRNA from 1 species
AGUUUUGUGUUGCUGGUUCACCUUUGGUCACUGGUGAAUGUGAUGUCAAAAAAAAAAAGGCAUAAAUUAAUGCUUUGUAGCCAAUUUCUUGCCCUGGAGUUCGGUAUCUUGGGUUGUAGGAGCUGCACGCAUAAGUAACAAAA